AGAACUCUCUGUCACCCAGGUAACUCAAGAUAGACCGUAUUAAAUAGAACUCUCUGUCACCCAGGUAACUCAAGAUAGACCGUAUUAAGUAGAACUCUCUGUCACCCAGGUAACUCAAGAUAGACCGUAUUAAGUAGAACUCUCUGUCACCCAGGUAACUCAAGAUAGACCGUAUUAAGUAGAACUCUCUGUUACCCAGGUAACUCAAGAUAGACCGUAUUAAAUAGAACUCUCUGUUACCCAGGUAACUCAAGAUAGACCGUAUUAAAUAGAACUCUCUGUUACCCAGGUAACUCAAGAUAGACCGUAUUAAAUAGAACUCUCUGUCACCCAGGUAACUCAAGAUAGACCGUAUUAAAUAG
ensembl:lncRNA